CAUUAGCACUAGCUUGCAGGCAGCUUAAAGGCCCACACACAUUUGAUGUUCUGGCUUGCACACUAAAUUACAUACAUUCUGAAUUUGGCAUACAGAACAAGGUUGUUCGAACUACCACGGACAACGGGUCAAAUUUCUUAAAGGCAUUUCGUGUAUAUGGCGAGCAAGAUCAGAACAACAACUCUGCUGAAGAUGAGGCUGAAGAUGUCACUGAUGAGAUUUUGGAUGAGGAGGAUGUGAAUGGAGUCGAUGUGGACUUUGUAGAGGUAUCUACUGUUUUAGAUGAGGAUAAUGGCUUACAAUUCCAACUUCAGAAACAUCAUUGAUGUGCCUGCCACCUAUUAAACUUGGUUUCGACAGUGGAGGCGGCCAAAGCCUGUUCUAAUGAAGCCUACAAGAAGCUUUCCCGAUCAGCAUUCUCAAAGUGCCAUGCACUAUGGAACAAGAGUGGCAGAUCUACUGCUGCUGCAGAGGUGAUAGAAGACGUGUGCAAAAUUCAGCUCAUCCGCCCAAACACAACAUGGUGGAAUUCCUUAUUUCUCGCUGUUGAGAGAAUUCUUCGAAUCAUCAAAGAUCAGGGAGAGGGGGCUAUCAGAACUGUCUGCACUUCACUCAAGCUGCCAAUGCUGAGUUCAGUUGAAAUUGCCUUUCUAGAGGAGUAUGCUAGAACAAUGAGCCCCAUUGCCAAAAACCACCCUCAACAUUCUUCAGGCUGAAGUCAAUGUUCAGAUGGGAUGACUCCUGCCAACUCUGACUCUCCUCAUCUCAAAACUUGACCGACUUCGCAUUGCCUCCAGGUACUGCAAACCUCUAGAGGAUGCCCUACAAAAAGGCAUGCAGCAGCGUUUUGCAAACAUGCUGGUAGAGCCAGAGUUUAUUGCAGCUGCAAUCCUUGUACCCAAAUUUAAAACAUCCUGGACAUCAGAUGAAAACAUUGUCAAGCUAGGCCUGGACUUAAUCAAGGACCAUCUAGAGGACAAUAUUUCAAUUCAGUCACCAAUCGAUGGUUCCAGUGCCUCUGAGGAAGAUGACUUCUUUGCGAGCAUGAAGCUUCAUCGUGGUCAGGAAAGUAUCAAGCAGUUAGAAAGCUACCUUGCCUGCAAAGCUGAUGACAAAGAAAUGAUCAAGUCCUUUCCAGCAGUCUGUAAGUUGUCUUUAAAGAUCAAUACUGCUUUACCCGCUUCUGCAGCCUGUGAACGUCUUUUCAGCACGGCAGGGCUUAUUUUCAGUCCGAGGAGGGCAAGAAUGGACUCAAACAACUUUGAGAAUCAGCUCCUUCUCAAGCUGAAUAAUAGAUAUUGCCACUUCAGUUAGAUCACCAGUCCCAUACAAUACUAGCCAAAACUAACCAAAAGCAUAAUUAAAGGCAUGCUGUUUAAUGUUUACUGCCAAAGCUAUCCC